AAGAUAGCUUUGACGAAGAGAGUAGUUUAUGAUUUCUUUUAAGCGAGUCGGGUAUGGUGUGAGCCGAUAUAUGAAUGACUGAAUGAAGAUCACUUCUGAGCUGGAUGCUGAAAGGCCAUGGCUGAUUAAGUUGACCGGGUGGUUCCGAUAUUGACCGAGAGUGUCUGGGUUUUUCCCAGGAACUAGGGUGGUAACGCGAUUUGACUCGUCCCUUGA
rnacentral:ncRNA from 1 species